rnacentral:rRNA from 1 species
UCGGGAAUAUUGCGCAAUGGAGGAAACUCUGACGCAGUGACGCCGCGUGCAGGAAGAAGGUUUUCGGAUUGUAAACUGCUUUAGACAGGGAAGAAACAAGACAGUACCUGUAGAAUAAGCUCCGGCUAACUACAUGCCAGCAGCCGCGGUAAUACGUAGGGAGCAAGCGUUAUCCGGAUUUAUUGGGUGUAAAGGGUGCGUAGACGGGAAUGCAAGUUGGUUGUGAAAUCCCUCGGCUCAACCGAGGAAUUGCAACCAAAACUAUAUUUCUUGAGUGCUGGAGAGGAAAGUGGAAUUCCUAGUGUAGCGGUGAAAUGCGUAGAUAUUAGGAGGAACACCAGUGGCGAAGGCGACUUUCUGGACAGUAACUGACGUUGAGGCACGAAAGUGCGGGGUAGCAAACAGGAUUAGAUACC